UAGCGGUUAAGAGGUUGUGUUAUCAGGGUGACAGGUAGCCUAGCGGUUAAGAGGUUGUGUUAUCAGGGUGACAGGUAGCCUAGCGGUUAAGAGGUUGUGUUAUUAGGGUGACAGGGAGCCUAGCGGUUAAGAGGUUGUGUUAUUAGGGUGACAGACAGGUAGCCUAGCGGUUAAGAGGUUGUGUUAUUAGGGUGACAGGGAGCCUAGCGGUUAAGAGGUUGUGUCAUUAGGGUGACAGACAGGGAGCCUAGCGGUUAAGAGGUUGUGUUAUCAGGGUGACAGGUAGCCUAGCGGUUAAGAGGUUGUGUUAUUAGGGUGACAGGGAGCCUAGCGGUUAAGAGGUUGUGUUAUCAGGGUGACAGGGAGCCUAGCGGUUAAGAGGUUGUGUUAU